rnacentral:lncRNA from 1 species
CCCCUUUUGACCUCCUCCUUUUCCGCAGCAACCAAUGAUCCGGGUCACGGCACCAAUGUAACAGUGCCUGUGCAUGCUGACUGGACGAGGGGAGGCCAAGACAGGGACUGUAGUUGGCUGCUCGGUGCCCAGUCAUAUUUUCCUGCAGAGCUUUCAUGAUCCAAGACGCCUCUGAGGAGCUGGCUGAGUGUGGGAACAGCAUCACGAUCAUACGGGGGAGAAGACAGUGACGGGAAGGCCUCCACAAACACUUUGUUCUGAAAGAUGGAAAUAAUGGAAAAUGAAGAAAAAAUGUGUAUGUCUAUCAUUUCCAGUCAGUCCCAUGGACCAUGUACUCCUGGAGAUAUAAGAAUAUGCAAUAAAUUGACUCCUUGUCUUUUGUAGUCACUUCUGAGGAAAGCUGGAAAGAUUUAAAGGCCUACCACAUUUUGCGUGGCAGAGAAUCUGCCCCUUGUCUCCUCCACAGCAUUUGUGGGCCACCACUGUUCUCUUGUGUCUUGCCCUUCUCCCGCUGUAUCCUUUGGGAAGGCUGUCCAGGCAUCCUCUGAUUGUUGGAAUGAGCUGUCUGUCCAACCUGAGGUCCAAUGGGUAGACUCAUUGGUGAU